CCUACGGGUGGCAGCAGUGAGGAAUAUUGGUCAAUGGACGAGAGUCUGAACCAGCCAAGUAGCGUGAAGGAUGACUGCCCUAUGGGUUGUAAACUUCUUUUAUAUGGGAAUAAAAUGUUCCACGUGUGGGAUUUUGUAUGUACCAUAUGAAUAAGGAUCGGCUAACUCCGUGCCAGCAGCCGCGGUAAUACGGAGGAUCCGAGCGUUAUCCGGAUUUAUUGGGUUUAAAGGGAACGUAGGUGGAUUGUUAAGUCAGUUGUGAAAGUUUGUGGCUCAACCGUAAAAUUGCAGUUGAAACUGGCAGUCUUGAGUACAGUAGAGGUGGGCGGAAUUCGUGGUGUAGCGGUGAAAUGCUUAGAUAUCACGAAGAACUCCGAUUGCGAAGGCAGUUCACUGGACUGCAACUGACACUGAGGCUCGAAAGUGUGGGUAUCAAACAGGAUUAGAUACCCGUGUAGUC
rnacentral:rRNA from 1 species